rnacentral:rRNA from 1 species
GACGAACGCUGGCGGCGUGCCUAAUACAUGCAAGUAGAACGCUGAGGGAGGAGCUUGCUUCUCUGGAUGAGUUGCGAACGGGUGAGUAACGCGUAGGUAACCUGCCUGGUAGCGGGGGAUAACUAUUGGAAACGAUAGCUAAUACCGCAUAAGAGUGGAUGUUGCAUGACAUUUGCUUAAAAGGUGCACUUGCAUCACUACCAGAUGGACCUGCGUUGUAUUAGCUAGUUGGUGGGGUAAGGGCUCACCAAGGCGACGAUACAUAGCCGACCUGAGAGGGUGAUCGGCCACACUGGGACUGAGACACGGCCCAGACUCCUACGGGAGGCAGCAGUAGGGAAUCUUCGGCAAUGGGGGCAACCCUGACCGAGCAACGCCGCGUGAGUGAAGAAGGUUUUCGGAUCGUAAAGCUCUGUUGUAAGAGAGGAACGAGUGUGAGAGUGGAAAGUUCACACUGUGACGGUAACUUACCAGAAAGGGACGGCUAACUACGUGCCAGCAGCCGCGGUAAUACGUAGGUCCCGAGCGUUAUCCGGAUUUAUUGGGCGUAAAGCGAGCGCAGGCGGUUAGAUAAGUCUGAAGUUAAAGGCUGUGGCUUAACCAUAGUACGCUUUGGAAACUGUUUAACUUGAGUGCAGAAGGGGAGAGUGGAAUUCCAUGUGUAGCGGUGAAAUGCGUAGAUAUAUGGAGGAACACCGGUGGCGAAAGCGGCUCUCUGGUCUGUAACUGACGCUGAGGCUCGAAAGCGUGGGGAGCAAACAGG